GACGAACGCUGGCGGCGUGCUUAACACAUGCAAGUCGAGCGGAAAGGCCCUGCUUUUGUGGGGUGCUCGAGUGGCGAACGGGUGAGUAACACGUGAGUAACCUGCCCUUGACUUUGGGAUAACUUCAGGAAACUGGGGCUAAUACCGGAUAGGAGCUCCUGCUGCAUGGUGGGGGUUGGAAAGUUUCGGCGGUUGGGGAUGGACUGGCGGCUUAUCAGCUUGUUGGUGGGGUAGUGGCUUACCAAGGCUUUGACGGGUAGCCGGCCUGAGAGGGUGACCGGCGACAUUGGGACUGAGAUACGGACCAGACUGCUACGGGAGGCAGCAGUGGGGAAUAUUGCACAAUGGGCGGAAGCCUGAUGCAGCAACGCCGCGUGCGGGAUGACGGCCUUCGGGUUGUAAACCGCUUUCGCCUGUGACGAAGCGUGAGUGACGGUAAUGGGUAAAGAAGCACCGGCUAACUACGUG
rnacentral:rRNA from 1 species